AUACGGAGGGUGCAAGCGUUACUCGGAAUCACUGGGCGUAAAGCGCGCGCAGGCGGCUUGAUAAGUUGGAUGUGAAAGUCUACGGCUCAACCGUAGAACUGCAUCCAAAACUGUCAGGCUAGAGUGUGGGAGAGGAAGAUGGAAUUAGUUGUGUAGGGGUGAAAUCCGUAGAGAUAACUAGGAAUACCAAAAGCGAAGGCAAUCUUCUGGAACACUACUGACGCUGAGGCGCGAAGGCGUGGGGAGCAAACAGGAUUAGAUACCCGAGUAGUCC
rnacentral:rRNA from 1 species